CCUACGGGUGGCAGCAGUGAGGAAUAUUGGUCAAUGGGCGCGAGCCUGAACCAGCCAAGUAGCGUGAAGGAUGACUGCCCUACGGGUUGUAAACUUCUUUUAUAAAGGAAUAAAGUUAGGCACGUGUGCCGUUUUGUAUGUACUUUAUGAAUAAGGAUCGGCUAACUCCGUGCCAGCAGCCGCGGUAAUACGGAGGAUCCGAGCGUUAUCCGGAUUUAUUGGGUUUAAAGGGUGCGUAGGCGGAAUCUCAAGUCAGCGGUAAAAAUUCGGGGCUCAACCCCGUCGUGCCGUUGAAACUGAUGGUCUUGAGUGGGCGAGAGGUAGGCGGAAUGCGUGGUGUAGCGGUGAAAUGCAUAGAUAUCACGAAGAACUCCGAUUGCGAAGGCAGCAUACCGGCGCCUAACUGACGCUGAAGCACGAAAGCGUGGGUAUCGAACAGGAUUAGAUACCCUGGUAGUC
rnacentral:rRNA from 1 species